AUACGUAGGGGGCGAGCGUUGUCCGGAAUGAUUGGGCGUAAAGGGCGCGUAGGCGGCGCGGUAAGUCUGGAGUGAAAGUCCUGCUUUCAAGGUGGGAAUUGCUUUGGAUACUGCCGCGCUUGAGUGCAGGAGAGGUUAUCGGAAUUCCCGGUGUAGCGGUGAAAUGCGUAGAGAUCGGGAGGAACACCAGUGGCGAAGGCGGGUAACUGGACUGCAACUGACGCUGAGGCGCGAAAGUGUGGGGAGCAAACAGGAUUAGAUACCCUGGUAGUCCACACUGUAAACGAUGAAUGCUAGGUGUAGGGGGUAUCGACCCCUUCUGUGCCGCAGUCAACACAAUAAGCAUUCCGCCUGGGGAGUACGGCCGCAAGGUUGAAACUCAAAUGAAUUGACGGG
rnacentral:rRNA from 1 species